AUUGAACGCUGGCGGCAUGCCUAACACAUGCAAGUCGAGCGAGCGGCGGACGGGUGAGUAAUGUCUGGGUAACUGCCUGAUGGAUGGGGAUAACUACUGGAAACUGUAGCUAAUACCGCAUACCAUCAGAUGUGCCCAGAUGGGAUUAGCUAGUAGGUGGGGUAACGGCUCACCUAGGCGACGAUCCCUAGCUGUUCUGAGAGGAUGACCAGACACACGGGAACGGAGACACGGUGCAGACUCCUAAGGGAGGCAGCGGGGGGGAAUAUGGCACAAGGGGCGCAAGCCUGAUGCAGCCAUGCCGCGUGUGUGAAGAGGGGAUGCGGGUUGUAAAGCACUUUCAGCGGGGAGGCGUUACCCGCAGAAGAAGCACCGGCUAACUCCGUGCCAGCAGCCGCGGUAAUAC
rnacentral:rRNA from 1 species